rnacentral:rRNA from 1 species
UACGUAGGUGGCAAGCGUUGUCCGGAUUUACUGGGCGUAAAGAGCGCGCAGGCGGUUGUGCAAGUCGCGUGUGAAAGCCCCCGGCUCAACUGGGGAGGGUCACGCGAUACUGUUCGACUUGAAGGCAGGAGAGGGAAGUGGAAUUCCCCGGUGUAGUGGUGAAAUGCGUAGAUAUCGGGAGGAACACCAGUGGCGAAGGCGACUUCCUGGCCUGUUCUUGACGCUGAGGCGCGAAAGCUAGGGUAGCAAACGGG